AGCAGCCGCGGUAAUUCCAGCUCCAAUAGCGUAUAUUAAAGUUGCUGCAGUUAAAAAGCUCGUAGUUGAAUUUCGGGAUCAAUAUGUUGGUCGUGCCUCGGUACGUACUAGCUUAUUGGUUUCUCCCUUCUGACGAACCAUGAUGUCAUUUAUUUGGUGUUAUGGGAAAUCAGGACUGUUACUUUGAAAAAAUUAGAGUGUUUAAAGCAGGCUCACGCUUGAAUACAUUAGCAUGGAAUAAUGAAAUAGGACGUUUGAUUCUAUUUUGUUGGUUUCUAGGAUCGACGUAAUGAUUAAUAGGGAUAGUUGGGGGCAUUAGUAUUCAAUUGUCAGAGGUGAAAUUCUUGGAUUUAUUGAAGACUAACUACUGCGAAAGCAUUUGCCAAGGAUGUUUUCAUUAAUCAAGAACGAAAGUUAGGGGAUCGAAGACGAUCAGAUACCGUCGUAGUCUUAACCAUAAACUAUGCCGACUAGGGAU
rnacentral:rRNA from 1 species